AUUGAACGCUGGCGGCAUGCUUUACACAUGCAAGUCGAGCGGCAGCGCGGGGGCAACCCUGGCGGCGAGCGGCGAACGGGUGAGUAAUGCAUCGGAACGUGUCCCGUAGUGGGGGAUAACCCGGCGAAAGCCGGGCUAAUACCGCAUAUGCUCUACGGAGGAAAGGGGGGGAUCCGCAAGGACCUCUCGCUAUGGGAGCGGCCGAUGUCCGAUUAGCUUGUUGGUGGGGUAAUGGCUUACCAAGGCGGGACGAUCGGUAGCUGGUCUGAGAGGAUGAUCAGCCACACUGGGACUGAGACACGGCCCAGACUCCUACGGGAGGCAGCAGUGGGGAAUUUUGGACAAUGGGGGCAACCCUGAUCCAGCCAUGCCGCGUGCGGGAAGAAGGCUGGUGUAACGCUUAGUCGGAGAAAGGACCUGGGCGAAGUACCCU
rnacentral:rRNA from 1 species